rnacentral:lncRNA from 1 species
GUGGACUGGAACUCUUUAGAGUAUAUGACUGCACCUCAUGAGGUACACUGAACUAGAACUGCCCAGGGUUUUAUUUCCCAAAACAUACUUUUCCUUCUAUUUGCAACUCUUUUUUGUUCUUCUUCAAACCAUGCUGUCCUGCUUUUUCACGCCUGCUUCUGGAUAAUCUCAUGGAUGGAAAGGGUGAAUAACUGGAUCUGUGGACUUUCCUCUCAUCUCCUGGACAUCUAAGGUCCACAUUUGCUGAAAUGUAACUCUUAUCUCAUGCACUGGGAGUGAUGAACUUCACUAGGAAAUCAUCGUUCUUUCUGGUGCCUAUUGACUUCUCACAUUGUUGCCACUAUAACGCGGAUACAAGCUGAAACUCACAAUUGUUAUGUUUUGAAACUUGCUAAGGAAUUAGACGAUAUAAGCUGCAGCUCAGAAUCAGAGGAAUCUAUUACUAUAAUGAAUUAUACUAAUGGAUUCUCUAAUGUUUAUCAUCUGUGGAUACAAGUCAUCCAGGUACAGCUUAUAUUUCAAGCAAGCCUUCCUUGCAGCUAAUUAGAGUUAUAUGACUAAAUAUGGGAAAUAGAAUGAUAGUAAAGUUAUUGUGAGUGACUUACAGGUUAUCUCCAACUCAACACACAACAGUGGCCCUGGACAUUGACCAUUUCUCCCUUCUUGACUAGACAUGACAAUAACUGGAGUGACUUUAGAAGCCAUAAAUUAAGUGUUGACAUGUCAUACCAUCCUGAACCAAUCAGAAUCUCCCAUGAGAUAAAAAUAAACUUCUAUCUAUGUAAGUCCCUGAAAUUUUGUUGUUGUUGUUACCUCAGUUAAACCUUUAUCCUAUCUAAUGAUGUCUUUGAAGUUUGGUGAUAAACCCUAAUUCAUCAGAAUGCAUUAUAACUUUUCUAAAUGUACUAUUAGAUUAGUUUGAAUAAUGCUUUGUUGUAGAUUUUAGCAUUUCUAUUAAUAAGCAAAAUGUGGCUAAAAUUUUACUUUCUUAUAUAAUUAGUAUAGUCAAUAUUUUACAUAAUCUUAUAUAGAACAUAAUUUUAAAAUAAAAAUUAUAUUAGACUUUUAAAUUAAUCUUGACAGCUUUUUCUCUUUAUUUAAUUUCCAAAAAAGAAAUGUGUAAAAUGCAUGUUCUCUAGGCUGAAUUAUAUCUGCCAAAAAAAUGUUUAAUUCUUAACCACCGGGUUCUAUAAAUGUGACCUAUUUUGAAAAUAAGGUCUUUGCAGAUGUAAUCAAGUUAAUAUAACGUCCCUAGGGUAUGUCCACAUCCAAUGUGACUAGUGUCCUUUUAAGAGGAUGAGAAUGGACUCAAAAACACACCGAUGAAAAUGCUGCAUGAAGACAGAUAUACAAAGGAAGACAGCCAUGUGAUAACCAAGAAGAGAUUAAAUUUAUGCAGCUACAAGCCAAGGAAUAUCGAAGGUUGCAACAACCAUCAGAAGCCAAGAAAGAUCAUUGCCUUGCUGACAUCUUGAUUUUGGACUUCUAGCCUCCAGAACUAUGAGAGAAUACAUUUCUGUUGUUUUAAGCCAUUCAGUAUGUGGUAGUUAAUUAUGUGAGCCCUGGGAAACUAAUACAGAUUUUGGCACUGGGAGGUAGGAUACUGCUGUAACAAAUAUCUAAAAAUGUGCAAGUGGCUUUGGAAUUGUGUAGUAAAUAGAGUCUGGAAGUGUUUUUGAAGCAUAUUCUAGAAAAGUUUAGAUUGUCUUGAAGAGGCUGUUGGUAGAAAUCUGGACAUUAAAGGUGUUCUGGUGGGGUCUCAGAUGGAAAUGAAGAUCAUGUUUUGGACACCGGAGAAAAGGCAACCCUAUUUAUAAAAUAAUUGAGAGUUUGAUGAUUUGGAAAAUUCUCAGCUAUUCAUAUUUCAAAGAAUGGGAAAGCAUGUUCUGGAGAGAAAACACCAUAGGUGUGUCUGAAUAAAUUUUUGCUACAGAGAUUAAGCGUGUGACUCAUGGAUCCAAUCAACUAUCUCAGUAGAAACGGUCACCUUGGAUGAAAGAUGAUAGAAAUGAACAAAGGGCAG